UUAAGCGACUAAGCGUACACGGUGGAUGCCCUGGCAGUCAGAGGCGAUGAAGGACGUGCUAAUCUGCGAAAAGCGUCGGUAAGGUGAUAUGAACCGUUACAGCCGGCGAUGUCCGAAUGGGGAAACCCAGUGCAAUUCGUUGCACUAUCGUUAACUGAAUACAUAGGUUAACGAGGCGAACCGGGGGAACUGAAACAUCUAAGUACCCCGAGGAAAAGAAAUCAACCGAGAUUCCCCCAGUAGCGGCGAGCGAACGGGGAGCAGCCCAGAGUCUGAAUCAGCUUGUGUGUUAGUGGAACGGUCUGGAAAGUCCGACGGUACAGGGUGAUAGUCCCGUACACCAAAAUGCACAGGCUGUGAACUCGAAGAGUAGGGCGGGACACGUGGUAUCCUGUCUGAAUAUGGGGGGACCAUCCUCCAAGGCUAAAUACUCCUGACUGACCGAUAGUGAACCAGUACCGUGAGGGAAAGGCGAAAAGAACCCCGGCGAGGGGAGUGAAAAAGAACCUGAAACCGUGUACGUACAAGCAGUGGGAGCACCUUCGGGUGUGACUGCGUACCUUUUGUAUAAUGGGUCAGCGACUUAUAUUCUGUAGCAAGGUUAACCGUAUAGGGGAGCCGCAGGGAAACCGAGUCUUAACUGGGCGUUAAGUUGCAGGGUAUAGACCCGAAACCCGGUGAUCUAGCCAUGGGCAGGUUGAAGGUUGGGUAACACUAACUGGAGGACCGAACCGACUAAUGUUGAAAAAUUAGCGGAUGACUUGUGGCUGGGGGUGAAAGGCCAAUCAAACCGGGAGAUAGCUGGUUCUCCCCGAAAGCUAUUUAGGUAGCGCCUCGUGAAUUCAUCUUCGGGGGUAGAGCACUGUUUCGGCUAGGGGGUCAUCCCGACUUACCAACCCGAUGCAAACUACGAAUACCGAAGAAUGUUAUCACGGGAGACACACGGCGGGUGCUAACGUCCGUCGUGAAGAGGGAAACAACCCAGACCGCCAGCUAAGGUCCCAAAGUCAUGGUUAAGUGGGAAACGAUGUGGGAAGGCACAGACAGCCAGGAUGUUGGCUUAGAAGCAGCCAUCAUUUAAAGAAAGCGUAAUAGCUCACUGGUCGAGUCGGCCUGCGCGGAAGAUGUAACGGGGCUAAACCAUGCACCGAAGCUGCGGCAGCGACACUAUGUGUUGUUGGGUAGGGGAGCGUUCUGUAAGCCUGCGAAGGUGGCCUGUGAGGGUUGCUGGAGGUAUCAGAAGUGCGAAUGCUGACAUAAGUAACGAUAAAGCGGGUGAAAAGCCCGCUCGCCGGAAGACCAAGGGUUCCUGUCCAACGUUAAUCGGGGCAGGGUGAGUCGACCCCUAAGGCGAGGCCGAAAGGCGUAGUCGAUGGGAAACAGGUUAAUAUUCCUGUACUUGGUGUUACUGCGAAGGGGGGACGGAGAAGGCUAUGUUAGCCGGGCGACGGUUGUCCCGGUUUAAGCAUGUAGGCUGGUUGUCCAGGCAAAUCCGGAUAAUCAAGGCUGAGGUGUGAUGACGAGGCACUACGGUGCUGAAGUAACAAAUGCCCUGCUUCCAGGAAAAGCCUCUAAGCAUCAGGUAACAUCAAAUCGUACCCCAAACCGACACAGGUGGUCAGGUAGAGAAUACCAAGGCGCUUGAGAGAACUCGGGUGAAGGAACUAGGCAAAAUGGUGCCGUAACUUCGGGAGAAGGCACGCUGGUGUGUAGGUGAAGUCCCUGCGGAUGGAGCUGAGACCAGUCGAAGAUACCAGCUGGCUGCAACUGUUUAUUAAAAACACAGCACUGUGCAAACACGAAAGUGGACGUAUACGGUGUGACGCCUGCCCGGUGCCGGAAGGUUAAUUGAUGGGGUUAUCCGUAAGGAGAAGCUCUUGAUCGAAGCCCCGGUAAACGGCGGCCGUAACUAUAACGGUCCUAAGGUAGCGAAAUUCCUUGUCGGGUAAGUUCCGACCUGCACGAAUGGCGUAAUGAUGGCCAGGCUGUCUCCACCCGAGACUCAGUGAAAUUGAACUCGCUGUGAAGAUGCAGUGUACCCGCGGCAAGACGGAAAGACCCCGUGAACCUUUACUAUAGCUUGACACUGAACAUUGAGCCUUGAUGUGUAGGAUAGGUGGGAGGCUUUGAAGCGUGGACGCCAGUCUGCGUGGAGCCAACCUUGAAAUACCACCCUUUAAUGUUUGAUGUUCUAACGUUGGCCCCUGACCGGGGUUGCGGACAGUGUCUGGUGGGUAGUUUGACUGGGGCGGUCUCCUCCCAAAGCGUAACGGAGGAGCACGAAGGUUAGCUAAUCCUGGUCGGACAUCAGGAGGUUAGUGCAAUGGCAUAAGCUAGCUUGACUGCGAGCGUGACGGCGCGAGCAGGUGCGAAAGCAGGUCAUAGUGAUCCGGUGGUUCUGAAUGGAAGGGCCAUCGCUCAACGGAUAAAAGGUACUCCGGGGAUAACAGGCUGAUACCGCCCAAGAGUUCAUAUCGACGGCGGUGUUUGGCACCUCGAUGUCGGCUCAUCACAUCCUGGGGCUGAAGUAGGUCCCAAGGGUAUGGCUGUUCGCCAUUUAAAGUGGUACGCGAGCUGGGUUUAGAACGUCGUGAGACAGUUCGGUCCCUAUCUGCCGUGGGCGCUGGAGAAUUGAGGGGGGCUGCUCCUAGUACGAGAGGACCGGAGUGGACGCAUCACUGGUGUUCGGGUUGUCAUGCCAAUGGCACUGCCCGGUAGCUAAAUGCGGAAGAGAUAAGUGCUGAAAGCAUCUAAGCACGAAACUUGCCCCGAGAUGAGUUCUCCCUGAGACUUUAAGUCUCCUGAAGGAACGUUGAAGACGACGACGUUGAUAGGCCGGGUGUGUAAGCGCAGCGAUGCGUUGAGCUAACCGGUACUAAUGAACCGUGAGGCUUAACCUU
rnacentral:rRNA from 1 species